CCUGGUGAACUAAAACAUCUUAGUAACAAGAGGAAAAGAGAGGAAAAGCAAUUCCCGUAGUAGCGGCGAGCGAAAUUGGA
rnacentral:rRNA from 1 species